CUACGGGAGGCAGCAGUAGGGAAUCUUCCGCAAUGGACGAAAGUCUGACGGAGCAACGCCGCGUGAGUGAUGAAGGUUUUCGGAUCGUAAAGCUCUGUUGUUAGGGAAGAACAAGUGCAAGAGUAACUGCUUGCACCUUGACGGUACCUAACCAGAAAGCCACGGCUAACUACGUGCCAGCAGCCGCGGUA
rnacentral:rRNA from 1 species